AGAUGAUAUUAUGUCUGUGGUUUUAUCUGUGACUAGACAUGUGCAGGAGUGUCAGGUUCCUCUUAGCAACUAUGUAGUAAUAUUUUCAUUUGUGUUGGCUAUCCUUUUAGUUUUCAAUUAUGAGGAUGAUUAGAAAAUAUCAGGGACGAGCUUUUGCGUGACGAACAGUUUGAGUUCCGACCCAGAUACAGCUCAACGUUGUUGGUGGCCCACCUAGUUGAUAGAGUCAACAGAAACUUUGAUGAGAGUUAGCUAACCGACGCGGUUUUCCUGGAUGUAGCCAAAGACUUUAACGCAGGCCGCCUUUAUAAGCUAGCCAUCCUGAACUUCUCGUCCUGCCUGGUGAAAACUAUUUCAUAAUACGUAAGACUGCCGAACGUUUCAAACACCCUUCCAGUCAGCCACAUCCACACAGAGUAGUAUGCGAGCUGGAGUGGCUCAGAGUGGACUUGUCUCCCCAGAGCUCUUCAGUUUGUAUGUGAACGAGAGCUAGCUAGCGCAUUACGCGGAUGACACGACUCUUAUAGCCACGUCCCGUAGUCCAUCGCUUGUCGUCUGUUAUCCGAAGGCUUAUCUCGGUAGACUAGAGCUCUGACUAUGGGCUUGGAGGAUUGCAAUGAACGUCUCGAAGAGCAUCGCUGUGCUCUUCGUUAAGGUCGCAAGAUGCAUCCAAAAGCCCAGAGUAAUGCAGUUUCUCGCAGAGCCGAUACAUCUGGGUCGAAACAGCGCGGUAUCUUGGGGUGACCCUUGACACCGGGUUUACCUGGUCGGCGCACUUCAGCCAAGUAGGGAAGAAGACAGCACAACGAUUGGGCAUGCUUGGCCCUCUCCUUGGUGCGUUAAUAACAGGCAAAUCCACGAGGAUUAAGAAUUCCAACCUUCGCCGACCACAUCAGAGCACUGACUGAGAACUUCGACUCGAAGUUAGCUGAUGCGGAUAACCCCUCAGUCGGAAGAAACCGACGAUUGACAUUCAGAAUGAUGGAAAGUAACUAAAUGUGAAUACGGAAGCGACAAGGUCCAUAAUUACUACGGACUUGGUGAGCAGCAACAUAACCAUGAGCAGUGGCAGAUGGAUCAGUGAGAAGCGGAACAGCCUACGUGAGCUACGACUGUCUGGCUGCUGAAAGAACUGCCAAGCUGCAAAGGAGUGAAUCUGCCUCUCAUAACAUUAUACACAACAAUGCCUUUUGAUAAUAACAACUGUACACUCACACCAUAUAUCAAUGGACUUUCAACAUAAGCAGUACUAGUGACUCAUACUGUACAAUACAAAUAAAAGUCCAUAACAUAA